rnacentral:lncRNA from 1 species
ACGACAAAGCGCCUCUCGCCCUUCCCCACCCUUCUCGUCCUCUCCCGGCCUCUCCCUCCUCCUCUUCCACCUCCGACGACGACGCAUCUUCCCCGACGCCGACACUGUGGAGGUCGCUGCGGUGCGGCAGCCUCGGAGCAGCGGGUCCUUAGUAGCGUCGUCGCCGGCGUCGUGGCCGUUGGCAGAGAGGGGUGACCAAAAAAAAUUAUAGAAGAAGUAAGAAAAAAAAUUAAAGAUAAAAAAUUAUAGAAAAAGAAAGAUGAAGACGAAAUUGCACCGUUAAAAUAAAAUUGCACUGUUUUAAAAAAUCUUUGCACUAUAAUGAACAUAAGUUGCACUACUUAAGAUGUAAACUGCAGCUUUAAGAUGAAAAUUACACUCUUUAAACGAAAAUUGUACUCUUUGGGAGAUAUUUACACUAUUUCUUUUCUUAUUGCACUCUUUCAGAUAUAAACUGCAUCAAUUAAAAUGAAAGUUAUACUUUUUAAACGAAGGUUAAUUCCACUCUUUGAGAUAUAUUUAUACUGUUUUUUCUCUUCUUCUACCCUUUGAGAUGUAAACUGUAUCCAUUUAAGAGAUAUUUAUAUUGUUUCUCCUCUUAUUGCACUGUUUCUCCUCUUGUUACACUAUUUCUACCCUUGUUACACUGUUUCUCCUCUAAAAGUACACCCUUUAAGACUCUAUGCAUUAAUUUUUCGUGACUUGAAGAAGUGUCGAGCACAAUUUUAUGGAUUUCCUUUUACAUUUUUUGUACAUAAAACUU